UACGAAGGGGGCUAGCGUUGCUCGGAAUCACUGGGCGUAAAGGGUGCGUAGGCGGGUCUUUAAGUCAGGGGUGAAAUACCUGGAGCUCAACUCCAGAACUGCCUUUGAUGACUGAAGGAUCUUGAGUUCGGGAGAGGUGAGGUGGAACUGCGAGUGUAGAGGUGAAAUUCGUAGAUAUUCGCAAGAACACCAGUGGCGAAGG
rnacentral:rRNA from 1 species